GCUUCGGGCGAUGAUGUGUAGGUGAAUAAAUCAGGAAUUCUUCCUUUAUGUAUAGAUUUAUAAUAAAACAUCUGAACAAAUAAAUAUAUACACCAAUUAAAAAGAAAACUAUUUCAGAAAAACUAAAAAAAUUAAUUAAUUUACAUUCAGUAAUGCGCACCAAGUUCGUAUCGUUUUAAACGCGAGGCGUUUUAAAAAAAUCGGCUUUGACCACGCCCAGCUCCUUGGAGUAAACACGCUGCGCGUGAAUCUGCGCAAACGAUCAGGGAGGAAUCAGGAGGAAACUAGCAUCUGAGGGGCUAGACGCUUGUGCGAUUUUCUAUCUGGAAUGACUGAGCAUGAGUGAGUCCUAAGUUCGAGUAAAGAUGGCAGUUAGAUCAGUUGUGGGUUGAUAGCAUAAGUCCAAAACAGUCGACGACUGGUACUCAUACUGUGGCGAGCAAUUCACGGACAGAAUGCUGCGUAGAAUUCACUGCACUGUGGAAAUUGACAAAACAAAAGUCGGCAGGAGGAACUACAACGUGGAAAGAGUAAUUUAUGGCUCAUCGUCGAUUAGCCGUUGACGAGUAAAAAUGCGAGAGGUUCUUUCCCGAAGCGCCAACGGGUGCGUUGCAGAAGAAAACCCAUAAAUUCUGAUAUUGUUCAUGUAUUAGAUCUGCUUCUGAAAAGUUUUCGAACCAUAUCCUCUCUCUGUACCUGAAGUACCAAAUCUGAAAUGGUAGUAUCAUUGACACAGAGAAAAUCUGAUGGCAUAUAAAGGAAAGAUAUGGUGGGGAUGUCCUAGUAUAGUGCAGUGUAUUUCUGCAGUACAAUAUGAGAGAUAUAACUGCACAGAUAGAAGAGAAGGGAAUGACAGCUCCCGAAAAGUAGAUAUAUUUUAAAGAUGUAAGUGUUCUGGCAACAGUGCAGAAAGAAUUAUUCAACUGUAACUGUAAAGAAAGUAGUUGCACAUAUGAGAUUACCACAUACCAUUACAAGGUCCCAGGUCGAUUACAAGGUCUAUGUGAUUCACUCGUGUUGCAGUCACAGAGAAAGCUAAAGUUGGCUGAGUGUUAUUCACAGUGUUGUGCCUCGGCUACAGGUAUCGUUGAUGAAUGACGGCUGACAUGUUGAGCAUUUGUUAUGAAGAACAUUAUCUUUGCCUACAGAUGAAUGCUAUGUUCAGAUUAAGUGGCAUCUGCUGGCCAUUUUUUGUAAUAAUUUUUUCUAAGAUUUCAAUAAAACUUCAUUUCAAACAUGCA
rnacentral:lncRNA from 1 species